AUAAUGGGGGAUUGGGGGCAAUGCGUCAGACUCAGAUCCACAUUUUAUGUGAGAAAUGAUUGAGACAUUGAUAGGUCCCUUUCUCCUUUAUAUAAUUCUUUGACCAGAUGAACAAUGUCUCCCUGUCGUCAGCAUGGAUAUGCUUCAAGCUUCGCUUCUUUUUCCACAUGGGUUGGCUCUGCGACUGUAAGCAAGCAAAUGUUGAAGGCAGCAGUUCGGCACGGUAGUACAAUUUUUGGUGUGGUGUCUGCCAUCAAACAAGUUGUUGUAUGCAAUUAGGGUUGGUGGACCUAAAAUCCCCAGAAUUCUAUCGUGAAUCUGAUUCUCAACGAGGAAGGGACCAUACGGUAAACAUUGCAGUUAAGUGAAGGCUGAUAUCAGUUACCACAGAGAGCAAUGGAAAGAUUCAAAUCAACACCACGACUUGCCGAAGAAAAGGCAGAACAGUCUUUAUAUUUUAAUGAUGAGAUUGCACCACCCAUCUCUUCACUUGAAGAAGCAUUGCUCAUGUGAGAAGAGGGAUGAGGCAACGAGAGAGACAACGAUAACUGACAGUCUCCACCUUCGAUUUGAAGAAGGGGUUGAAGUUGUAAAGAAAAUGAUGCUGCUGUGGCAGAGACACCCCAUUUGCCAGCACCCCGCCGUAAUCAUUAAAAGUGUACGGUGCCGUUUCAUGUGUUGUUUGGCUCCAUUGCCGCUGCUG